UACGUAGGGUCCGAGCGUUGUCCGGAAUUAUUGGGCGUAAAGGGCUCGUAGGCGGUUUGUCGCGUCGGGAGUGAAAACACGGGGCUUAACCCCGUGCCUGCUUCCGAUACGGGCAGACUAGAGGUAUGCAGGGGAGAACGGAAUUCCUGGUGUAGCGGUGAAAUGCGCAGAUAUCAGGAGGAACACCGGUGGCGAAGGCGGGUCUCUGGGCCGAUACUGACGCUGGAGGAGCGAAAGCGUGGGGAGCGAACAGG
rnacentral:rRNA from 1 species